rnacentral:rRNA from 1 species
AGCGAACGCUGGCGGCAGGCUUAACACAUGCAAGUCGAACGCCAUCUUCUGAUGGAGUGGCAGACGGGUGAGUAACGCGUGGGAACGUACCUUGAGGUUCGGAAUAUUCUCGGGAAACUGAGAGCAAUACCGAAUAAGCCCUUAGGGGGAAAGAUUUUCCGCCAAAAGCUCGGCCCGCGUUAGAUUAGGUAGUUGGUAGGGUAAUGACCUAGCAAGCCUACGAUCUAUAGCUGGUCUGAGAGGAUGAUCAGCCACAUUGGGACUGAGACACGGCCCAAACUCCUACGGGAGGCAGCAGUGGGGAAUAUUGGACAAUGGGCGCAAGCCUGAUCCAGCCAUGCCGCGUGAAUGAUGAAGGCCUUAGGGUUGUAAAAUUCUUUCAACGGGGACGAUAAUGACGGUACCCGUAGAAGAAGCCCCGGCUAACUUCGUGCCAGCAGCCGCGGUAA